AAUUCGUAUUAUGGGCAUUGGCAAAGUAAACCAUCGUAUCGUUCCUAAGCCUCUAAAUAGCAUUCUGAGUCCAUUUGCUGAAAAUAGUGAUCUCGUCCCUUAGCUU
rnacentral:snoRNA from 1 species